rnacentral:rRNA from 1 species
UGGGGAAUAUUGCACAAUGGAGGGAACUCUGAUGCAGCGACGCCGCGGGAGUGAUGAAGGAAUUCGUUUCGUAAAACUCUGUUCUAUGGGAAGAAAAGGACUGUACCAUAGGAGAAAGCUCCGGCUAAAUACGUGCCAGCAGCCGCGGUAAUACGUAUGGAGCGAGCGUUGUCCGGAAUUAUUGGGCGUAAAGGGUGCGCAGGCGGCUUUACAAGUUGGAUGUGAAAUAUUGUGGCUCAACCACAAACGUGCAUCCAAAACUGCAAAGCUUGAGUUAAGGAGAGGUAAGUGGAAUUCCUGGUGUAGCGGUGGAAUGCGUAGAUAUCAGGAGGAAUACCGGUGGCGAAGGCGACUUACUGGACUUAAACUGACGCUCAGGCACGAAAGCGUGGGGAGCAAACAGG